rnacentral:rRNA from 1 species
UAUUGCGCAAUGGCCGAAAGGCUGACGCAGCGACGCCGCGUGUGGGAGGAAGCCCUUCGGGGUGUAAACCACUGUCGGGAGGGACGAACCGCGGACGGGCAAAUAGCCCGGACGCCUGACGGUACCUCCAAAGGAAGCACCGGCUAACUCUGUGCCAGCAGCCGCGGUAAUACAGAGGGGGCAAGCGUUAUUCGGAAUUAUUGGGCGUAAAGGGCGCGUAGGCGGCUUUUCAAGUGGCGGGUGAAAUCCCACGGCUUAACCGUGGAACUGCCUGCCAGACUGGAUGGCUUGAGGCCGGGAGAGGUGAGUGGAAUUCCCAGUGUAGCGGUGAAAUGCGUAGAUAUUGGGAGGAACACCAGUGGCGAAGGCGGCUCACUGGACCGGAACUGACGCUGAGGCGCGAAAGCGUGGGGAGCAAACAGG